GUGGGGAAUAUUGGACAAUGGGCGAAAGCCUGAUCCAGCCAUGCCGCGUGUGUGAAGAAGGUCUUCGGAUUGUAAAGCACUUUAAGUUGGGAGGAAGGGUAGUAACCUAAUACGUUGCUACUUUGACGUUACCGACAGAAUAAGCACCGGCUAACUUCGUGCCAGCAGCCGCGGUAAUACGAAGGGUGCAAGCGUUAAUCGGAAUUACUGGGCGUAAAGCGCGCGUAGGUGGUUCAGUAAGUGGGAAGUGAAAUCCCCGGGCUCAGCCUGGGAACUUCUUUCAAAACUGCUGAGCUAGAGUACGGUAGAGGGUUGUGGAAUUUCCUGUGUAGCGGUGAAAUGCGUAGAUAUAGGAAGGAACACCAGUGGCGAAGGCGACCACCUGGACUGAUACUGACACUGAGGUGCGAAAGCGUGGGGAGCAAACAGGAUUAGAUACCCCGGUAGUCC
rnacentral:rRNA from 1 species